UACUGGAGCAUGCAGGAGCCUCGCUUUUUGAAGCACCCUGAAAACAGGCUUCUCUUUUUUGGUACCUGGGUGGCCCAGAAGAACUUGUCAGGAAGCAAGCGCCAAAUUGGUAGUAAGAUAGGCACAGCAAUGGGGGAACCUCAGUUUCAUGCUUCCUGGGCUUCUCAGUGACCUACAAGAACCAAGAAACACCAGAGAAGGAGACUGAAACUGCCUCUCUCUUGCUCAUUCUUCAGUGCCAGAUCACAUCAGGCUGUAAGAUACCUGAGGACUAUUUGUUUGCAGACUGCUGGAAGACAGAGACGGAAUCACCUAUUGGUGCAGUAACAGAAAAAUAAAUUCAAUUUGCAGACUCCUGUCAUCCUCCGGAUCUUUGGAUCAGUCUCUCAGCCUCAUUCAUUGCUUCUGAGGAUGAACUUCUCAACACCUGCUGUGGUCGAAACUGUUCUUACAUCAUCUCCUGAACACAGUGACUUCAAUCACGUGAAACCAUGAGGUUAAUGCCACAGUCAAGACUUCAAAGCUGUUUCUGCAGACCUGAGCUGAUUUUUUUUUUAAAUGCUACAGUAGCUGCUAGUUCUUAACCAGCAGAAGAAUUACCAAAGCUGGCAGUGUUCUGCUUAUCAUGCAAUACAAGAAGAUGGGAAAAUUUUCUAGCAGAACUGCAGUCUGGGUGGGGGAGGCAGUACUGUAGGCUGAGUUCUCCACUUAACCUCAGAUUAGUUUUGAUUUUUGUCUUUUUGUACGAAAUGGAGAUGAAUAUCCUUGUUCUGUAUUACCUACUUGAACCAGAUGACCUUUAAAAGGCCCCUUCCAACUCAAACUAUUCUAUGAUUCUAUGAAAUUGUUAGUUGUGCUAGAAAAGGGAUUCUCACAAGAAAAAAGGUCAUUACAGGGCUUACUAAUGAGGGUGAGAGAUCAGGCAACAGGGGGAACCAUCUUUAGAGAGACACUUUGAACAAUCUUUUAGAAGGGGGGAGACACUGAUACGUAUCUAAAUGAGUCUGGGUUAUGUGCUAUAGCAGAAAACUUUCCUCUGACCAGAAAGUUCCCCCUGGUUCUGUGUUUCUGAGUUGUAGGAUAAUGAAAUCCUUAAAUGUUAAUUAUGCAAGUAGCAACAACGAUUAUCUAUUGAUCAAUAAUAUUAAUUAUAGACUGGAUUGAUUGGAUGUUGCUUGUGACUGAAUAAAACCAGAAGAACAGACAAA